UGGUUCUAGUUCGGAUUGUAGUCUGCACUCGACUACAUGAAGUCGGAAUCGCUAGUAAUCGUAGAUCAGCUACGCUACGGUGAAUACGUUCUCGGGUCUUGUACACACCGCCCGUCACACCAUGGGAGCUGGUAAUGCCCGAAGUCGGUUUGUUAACUUCGGAGACGACA
rnacentral:rRNA from 1 species